AGUGAACGCUGGCGGUAGGCCUAACACAUGCAAGUCGAACGGCAGCACAGGAGAGCUUGCUCUCUGGGUGGCGAGUGGCGGACGGGUGAGGAAUACAUCGGAAUCUACUUUUUCGUGGGGGAUAACGUAGGGAAACUUACGCUAAUACCGCAUACGACCUACGGGUGAAAGCAGGGGACCUUCGGGCCUUGCGCGAUUGAAUGAGCCGAUGUCGGAUUAGCUAGUUGGCGGGGUAAAGGCCCACCAAAGCGACGAUCCGUAGCUGGUCUGAGAGGAUGAUCAGCCACACUGGAACUGAGACACGGUCCAGACUCCUACGGGAGGCAGCAGUGGGGAAUAUUGGACAAUGGGCGCAAGCCUGAUCCAGCCAUACCGCGUGGGUGAAGAAGGCCUUCGGGUUGUAAAGCCCUUUUGUUGGGAAAGAAAUCCAGCUGGCUAAUACCCGGUUGGGAUGACGGUACCCAAAGAGUAAGCACCGGCUAACUUCGUGCCAGCAGCCGCCGUAA
rnacentral:rRNA from 1 species